CUGUAGAAAAUUGGCUGAUAGUGAAGCUCAGAAAGUGUUUGGAGUAGCCCGAUGAAUGGAGGAGCUCAUUAUUGGAGAAGUCCGGAUGGUAUUAUGGAAGCUCGAACGGUCGGGGGAGUUCAAAAAGACGCCGCACAAGGUCGAAAGCCAGAAGAGCCCUGGAAGGGUCAGCCUUUUACGAACUUUGGCUGGGGUUAUUUUAUACCCAACACCAGUCCCCCUACUUUCGAGUUUGGGU
rnacentral:lncRNA from 1 species